GCCGGUCAAUUCACUGUUCUCAAUCUAUAGAUUUUUCAUCAGCAAAAUCAUUAAAACAAUAAAAGCACCAUUAUGGAGCAAUCAUCAAAUCAUAUUAAAUAGUCCACGCUAUGUGCUGCUAUCAUGUGGUUGAAGUCAAGAAAAGAAGCAGUGAUGUCAUAACACCUCCAAACAAGUUAACCAAGCUUGAUCUCCAGCAAAAGCUCUUCCGUUUUUUGUUUUUUUUGUUUUUGUUUUUUUUUUGUUUUUUUAAUUCUUCCUAUAGUUCUUUCAUAUGAUUUUCUAUACAUCAUGGUUUGAAGGUAUAAUGUCUCCCGUAGGGUCAGUGCUUGCACACUUUGUCUCUAAAUGUCCAUACAGUUUAGGGAAGUUGUGGGAUGCUCAGGGCUGUGGUUUAGCUCUACGGCAAUUACAGAAAGGGCUUCUGGGAGAUACCUACUUCCGGUCCGGCUCUCUGCUUCCUGAAUUGCCAAGAUGGCAGAAGAUGCUCCUUCAUGCUCUUGUUACCAUGAAUUGGGACACUCCUGCUUACCUUCCCCGUCUUCCCCAAACCAUGCUGUGUGCCAAAAGUAGAUACUUGGAAACUGAAGACUAGGAGUUCCUUAUGGAGCACACACUUGACUAUGGGAGAGACGGAUAAAAGCUGGAAACACAAGCAUGUGCCACCACACCUCUGUUCUCCCUCGGUCACAACCUGGAUCCCCUGCCACAAAGGACAGUCUCCAGUACUUGGAAGUGAACAAAUGAAACUCAAGGUCUCCUGGUGUCCUUGAAGCUCUUGCCAAAGCUGUUUUUCAUUGGUGACUGGCACCAUACACAGAUUAAGCAAAUGAAACUCCCGAAUGCCUGCUGUUCUGAGACGUACUGUAACACAAACAACCAUGCGAAAUGGACACCAUACAGGCUGGCCUGUAUUAGACCUGCUGACCCAGUGGCAGUCAGAACUGUUGUACUUCUGGCAAAGAGGCCAUAGUGGAAUCACCAGAGGACUGGAACACACACAGCCAUGUUGGGAGCAUUGGAUCAAAUCCCUACUCUGACUAAAAAGUACCCAGCUGCCCUUUCCAAGUUUCCAACCUAUUCCAGAAGAUCAAAGGGAAGAAAUAGACCUGAACUAAAUGUGAUAUCCAUGGCUAAUGGUAGGUGCUCUGUGGGCUAAGAUCGCGAGGGCAUGGAGGGUGUGGACUUGUUGCAGUUGGCACUACUGCCUGGCUAGAGGCUGGGUAGGAGGAAAGGAGGGAACAGAGGAAGGUGGUAUGCUACAGUCCCAGCAUAGAAGGGAAGGGACAUCUUGCUUUUCCUUGUCCCUUCAUUUGUCCACUCACACUUGGUGUGUGUACAUGUGUGCGUGUGUAUGCGUGUGCAUGUCAGGGUGCCCACAGCACAGGUUGACGAGCGUUUUCUUUUUCACUCUUCCUUCACAUUAUGCUUCAGGAAGGAUAUCUCCCCGAACCCGGAGCUCACUGACUAUUCUAGGCUGACUGGUCAGAGACCAACCUGUUCCUGAUCCGUCAGCACCAGCAUUACAGAAGUGCACCACCACAUCCAAUUUUUACAUGAGUGCCUGGGACAGAAUUCAGGUCCUCAAGCUUGCAUGGCAAGCACUCAACCACUGAGCCAUCUCCUAUCUCUGUCAUGCUUGUUACUGAAUUUUACCCUGCACUUACUUCUCUUAUGUGUCUUUCCCCUUUCUUUUUUCUUCUGUCAUUGGUAGCUUAGCAUUUCCCCUGUCUUUCCCUCUUCUCUUUAAUCUAAUGUUUAACCCAUCUCUCAUCUUUCAGUGCUCUGUCCAUCCAUCAAAGACCCUGCUCUUCUGCCUUAUAUCCAGCCUGAGAUGUGGUUACAGGGCAUCAGUCCCUGCCCAUUUGGGAUGAGGAUUCUCAGGCACAGCAUCAGAACAGGUGAUGGAAAGCGCUGCUGUCAUAAGAUCAACCGGGAAAUCUAUGCUCAACCUCCUAGAACGUCCUUUCCUGGACCGUUCACUCACACCUGCCUUUCAUCCCACAACCCUGUUGAGUUUCUUAAAACUACUGCUUGCACAUUUUUGAAACAAACAUAUGCCUUAACUUCGUCACCAAAUCCCUAGCCUCCAAGCCCUGGGAGUGCAAUGUUAACAGGCUGGUUUCUGCAUAGUGACAUGCCCAUCAUGUCUAAAGUUUACAGAGCAGUUUUCACUGCUUGGUUUCCCACCUAAAAUACCUAGAUCACCUCCUGGUACAAACAUUCCAAGCCAAAGGAUGAUUUCCAGAGUACAUGCAGAGUUACUUUUCCAUUUGUAGAGGAGAUCUACAACUAUACAUGAAAUAAUUUCGUUUGAUUUCUAACUUGAGUAGGGCAAUGAUUGCAUUUUGAUAAGAAUUAUUUCAAAGCUACAGUGUUGAGUUUAUUGCUGAUAUUAUGAUGAUUUAGUAAAACAUAAGUAAAAUGCUUUGGAAUACUCAAAAACGUAAAAUUCUCACUUCUCCUAGCUUUUCAAUAUGAUCUUUAUUCCUAUUUUUGUGUUUCAGUCAACUGUGUUUUGUAGGUAGUAGACCUGGUGAGAUUUGAUUGUAGGCAUUGAAUAGUCAGAAAAGGCUUAGAUGAUAAGCAAAUAAAGUUAAGUUUAUGCGAUGAGAGGCAGAUAUAGACGUAUGGUUGUGUGUGUGUGUGUGUGUGUGUGUGUGUGUGUGUGUGUGUGUGUGUGGUGUGUCUGUGUAUUCACGUGUCUAAUUACAUGUGUGCACUGAUAUGUGUACACAUGAGAACAUGCAUAUAUGAAGAACUGAGGUAAUAUGAUGUUUUCCAUCAUCAUUUCCACUUAUGUAGUGAGGCAAGUUCUCUUGUGAGCCUGGAGCUUACCAAUGACACUAGUUAAGCUAGGCCUGGUGUUCCUAUGUGUCUACCUCCCAAGUAUUGGAAAUACAGAUUGCCCACUAGUCCACCAGACUUUUUAUGGGAGUGCUAGGACUUGAACUCUGAUCCUCCUGCUUGCACGGCAAGCACUUCCUCUACUGAGCCAUCUCCCUCACCUCCUAAGUUUCUUUUAAAUGGUAGAAAUACAACUGCUGUACCCUCCCUCAAAGCAACUGCUAUGACUGAAAGAAAAGAAACUCCAUUCACUGACAGUGUGUCUAAUUUUAUUCUGGUUUUGUUUAAAGAGAAAUCUUGGGACAGUUCAAAUCAUCUUCCUGCUUCUGUAUGUAGAUAGGAGUUUUUAGGUACCUUGCCAACAUCUAUAGCAGGAUCAUGAGACAUUGCCUGUUGAGUGAGAUUCACGACUAUCACCACCACCACCACCACCACACCACUACCACCACCAUCAUCAUCAUCAUCACCACCUAGGUUGUGCAGCCCAAACUUUAUGAAUUUGGAGCACUGGAGGGAGGACCACCAAUAAUUAUAUGAUUUCAGUGAUUCUGGAGCUGAGCAUCUGUGUCCUAUUUGUGUCUGGCCCCUGUUGCCUGCCUUUAAUCAGUGCCCCUUGAAACCCACAGGGUCUCCAUCGGUAGCCAAUUUUAGUUUCCCAUCACUGACUGCAUCAAUUCUUGUUUUUCUGCAGAGAUCAUGAAGAUGAAGAUGAUUUACAGUUCUUCAGAGAUUCUCAGACUCAUUAAAUAAAUGUUUCAAAAAUUUAUUCACUUAACUUCUAUUAAUAACCACAGAAAUUAUUUAAUGUUCUAGGAUGAGUUAAAAAUAACACUUUUUGAUAAACAGUGCUAUUUAAAAUUCAACCAGGGACUGUGAUUCAGAGCUUAGAAGGAAACAUUUUAAUGUAGAUAUCUAAAAGUCACAUUAAAAACUUUAGCAGCCUGACUAAAUAUCAAAAUAUUUUGGUAGUAUUUUUGAAAUAUUUAGAAAUUCAAUUUUAUCUUUAGAUCCAACCGUCCAGGAUAUUUCCUUUUAGAGGAGACAUGGAAAAAAUGUCAAAAUAAAAUAUAUAAAGAGAGCAAACACAAUAAAAGGUUGAGUGGCCAUAGACAAAAAAAAUGGAGUAAAAUUGCAGGCCUGGAUACAGACCUCAGAAUGUGGGGCGAUUAGGAAAGCAGCUCUUUGGGGCUGUGUAGAUACCGUGGUGAUCAGGAAAAGUUACGUAGCAAUCAUGAAGACUAGAGUUGUAGCCCAGCAUUCUCGUAACAUGCUUGGCUUUCUGCACAUGGCAGUUACCUCGGCUCAGGGCCACAGGGGGUCAUAGGAAUAAUGCUUUCCCUUGCUAAAAUGCAAGCCUCAGGUUCAGAGUCCCUACCUCAGAGCACUUGGCAGAGAGGGAGAGGCAACAUCACUCCAUGCUGUCAUCUACUUCUGGCAGACAUUGGCAAGCAUAACUGUGCACAUAUAUGUACACAUAUGGAUACACACACAAAUAAAUAAAAAUAAUAAGCAUUUAAACAACUGUGCUCCAUACACCCGUAGGUGUGUGUGUGUGUGUGUGUGUGUGUGUGUGUGUGUGUGUAUGUGAGCACUGUGUGUGAGAACUGAGUGUGUGCAUGUAUGGGUGGGUAUGUGUGUGAGUCUGUAUAUGUGUGUAUGCAAGCGUGUGUGUGUGUGUCAGCAUGUGUGAGAACUGAGUGUGUGGGUGUUUGAGCAAGCAUAUGUGUGUGAGCAUGUGUAUGUGUGUAUUAGCAUGUAUGUGAGAACUGAGUGCAUGUCCUUAAGAGUAAUAUCUUGCUUUAAAACUACACAUUUGUUGUCUUCCCCUUGACAGGAAAGCCAGCAUCCAGGCCGUGGGUAUGUCUGUGCUCUCUCACUGAGCAGCUCUUGGGCCACCGUUCUCUUUGCCUCCUCCAGGCAGGCUGACAUUAGUCCUUUCCUCAGGGUCCCCUUGGAGUGUCUCUAACCCCACUAUUAUUUCAGUGAAAACAGAAUGAUAUUCUCCCUCUCUCUCUCUCUCUCUCUCUCUCUCUCUCUCUCGUUGUAGAAUUCUAGAAAUUUUAUUGUUGUCCAAUAGACUUUGGCCCCUAUUUCCAUGAUGCAUAAGACCUUAGGCGGUGAGUUGCAGAACUGGCUCAGUGGUUAAGUGCAUUUGUGGCCCUCAGAGAGGACCUAUUUUGACUUCCUAGCAUUUAGAUGGUGGCUCACAACUACCUGUAACUCCUGAUCCUGGAAAUCUGAUGCCUUAACUGAUCUCUGUGGGCACCAGGCAUGAACAUGGUACAAAUAGAUACACAUAUAUAGGCAAAAUAUACACAUAGAAUAAUAAAAUAAAUAAAUAUAUUACAUAUACUAGCUUGCAACGCAGGCAGGAGAACAUGCCACUCAUGCUCUCUUUGUUAACUUAAAAAGGCACAAAGAAAUUGUUCUGAUUCCAACUUUGAAUUCAGGACAUCGGUCCUUCCCACAGCUUGUGUGUGUGUGUGUGUGUGUGUGUGUGUGUGUGUGUGUGUGUGUGUGUGUGUGUGUGAAUUGUGUGAGUAUGUAUUUGCAUAUUUGUUCAUAUGCCUGUGUAUGUAUCUGUAUAUGUGUGUGGGUAUUUGUGUCUGUAUGUUCACUUUUAGGUCCCCAUAUAUGACAGCGUCCUCCCAGUUUAUGGAGGCUAGGUGAUUAGCCUCUGUGUCUGACUCAGGCAGGAUGCACCUCUCAAGAGAUGGAAUGGGAAGCUGAAAGCCACUGGAUUGGUGCUCUUCCUUUUAACCCUUUCUCUUUCACUGCAGGAGAACUUUCCUAGUGGACACAGCCUCAUUAUGGUUGGCUAUGAAACAAGCAUACGAGCACACAGGGGCUUCUGAAAGGAGGCAUUUCUCUUCUGAUUUCCUGACUUACUAAUUUCUUCAUUCAUCCCUCCCGCCAUUCACUCUCUCACUCAUCAUAUUUACUGAGUGUCUGUUAUGGGCAUUCACAGCUACUCACAGAGUCUCCUAAGUGGCUUACAUUUUAGGGCAGGAAAAAUUUAAUUUUAAAAGAGUCUAAAAAUGUAACUCUGGAGACAUCAGACUUUCUAGAGAAGACAAGCAUUUUGUCUGGCAAAGAUAAAGUCUAAGAUAACAGCAGAGAGGCUACCUACUGAGGCACAGCGUGGGGGAGAGGUUGGGGCUAACAGAGAGGCAUGGAAGUCAUUUCCAGAGCUUGAGUUCUGCCAGGUAGGUGUUCUGAGACUAAGAGGAUCUCAGAGCCUGUAGCAGAGGGAGGGAGACAGAGCAGCAUAAGUGUCAGGUUGUUCUGAAAAAGUAACUCAAAGUACAAGCCAUUAGAAACAUGUCUGAGAGGACUGGAAUGAUUGGAGAAAGGAAACUAUUUCUACUUAAGCAAUUUUUCCCCCAAUUCAGAAGCCCAAAGGAAAAGGACGCAGAUUUAUCUAAAGUGUUUCAAUGUUGGUAAAGACAGAAUUCAGGGCUUUGGGUAAGUGUUCUGUCUCUGAGCCAUAACCCCAGCUCCACUGAGUAUUUUAAAAGAACAGAGAUGGGCACUCAGUGAUUGGGUGGCACCUUAUCACAUCCCAGGAAGUCAACAUGAAGGAGUUCAUUUUUCUUCUAGAGUUCGGAUAGAACAGUAAGAAACCACACAUGUCUUGCCCAGAAGCACCAUUUCUUGCCCUGAGCUCAGUCCACUCAGCUUAAGGCAUACAUAUUGGUGUCUUCAUCAGAUACUAAGAAUAACUACAACAGUAUCUGAUUGAGGAGACAACCGGGGAGGACAAUCUGAGCUACAUUAUGUCCAAAACUUUCUCUGUUCUUGCUUUGUCCUUAGCCUGCACAUUGAAUAGACAUAUAGCAGCUCUGUAUAAGAAUAGCUCUUAUGUACUAGGGAAAAUGCACUGUCUUUGAUUAAUAUCAUGGGAUCUGCUGCCAUGAGGCUUUGUGUAUCAUGUUGCAAAGACACCCCCUGCCUCAAGUCUCAAUAUUGUCAUCUAUCAGCUGGGAUGCCAACUGCACCUACCUCACAGGACUACGGUGAGGAUAAAGGAGAUACUACAGAAGAAUGCUCAGUGUUCUCUGCUGCUAUUAAUAUUGAUCAAAUGCUAUCACUGACUCCAUAGUGCACCCAUGGAAGGAUCCAGAAGGCAUGGAGAUGAGCAACCAAGGUCACUAAGAGCUUGUUGGUGACUGGAACUACUCAGGCCAGUCCCAAGAUUUCUCUCUCUCUCUCUCUCUCUCUCUCUCUCUCUCUCUCUCUCUCUCUCUCUCUCUGUAUGUAUGUAUUAUGUAUGUAUGUAUAUGUGUUUGUGUGAGUGUAUGUGUAUGUGUGUAUGUGUAUAUGUGCGUGUGAGGGCAUGUCUGUACAUAUGUGUAUAUGUGUACAUUUGUGUGUAUUGUAUGCAUGUGUGCAUGUGUGUAUGUGUAUAUGUAUAUGUACAUGUGUGUAUGUGUGUGUAAGAGUGUGUGUGGGUAUAUGUAUGUAUACGUGUGUGAGUGUGUGUGUAUGUGUGUGUGUGUGUUAGUGCGGGAAGUAUAUGGACUACGGGUUCACACAUGUGCAGGUUAGAGCUUGACAUCAGGUGUCCUUUUCUGUGUCUCUCCAUCUUAUUUCCUGAGACCGUCUUUCAUUGAAUCUGGAGCUGGCUGGUUUGGCUUGCUUAACUGCUCAGCCAGCCCUGGGGAUCCUUUUACCUCUGUCUCCCCAGUUCUGAGACUGUAGGCAUAUACCACUGUGUUUGUUUCUUACAGAGGUUCUGAGGAUGUGAACUUGGGUCCUCAUGCUUGUGCAGCAAGAACUUUACACAUUGAGCAAUCCCCAGCUCUGACAAUUUUAUACAUCCCCUUUAGUAUAACAUUUCCAACAUGCCUAUUAAGCCACCCAAAAUAAUUCUUUUUUCUUUUUUUGUUUUCUUUUAUUGGAUAUUUUCUUUAUUUAUAUUUUAAAUGUUAUCCCCUUUCCCAGUUUCCCCUCCAGAAACCCCUUACCCCAUCUCCUCUCCUCCUGCUUCUGUGAGGUUGCUCCCCAACCUACCAGACCCAAUCCUUCCCACUUCCCUGCACUAGCAUUCCCCUACACUGGGGCACCUAGACUUCACAGGAACAAGGGCCUCUCCUCCCUUUGAUGUCCAACAAGGCCAUCCUCUGCUACAUGUGCGGCUAGAGCCAGGGGUCCCUCCAUGUGUACUCUUUGGUUAGUGGUUUAACCACAGAUCUGGUGGUGUCUGAUUGGUUAGCAUUGCCAUUUUUCCUAUGGAGUUGCAAACGCCUUCAGCUCCUCCAGUCCUUUCUCUAACUCCUCCAUUGGGGAAUUUGUGCCCAGUCCAAUGGGUGGCUAUGAGCAUCCCCUCUGCCUCUGUAUUUGUCAGGCUCUGGCAGAGCCUCUCAGGAGACAGCUAUAUCAGGCUCCUGUCAGCAUGCACUUGUUGACCUUCGCAAUAGUGUCUGGGUUUGGUGACUGCAUAUGGGAUGGAUCCCCAGGUAGAGCAGUCAAUGAAUGGUCUUUUCUUCAGUCUCUGCUCCACACUUUGUCUCCAUAUUUCUCCUGUAUUUUGUUCCCCCCUCUAAGAAGGACUGAAGCAUCCACACUUUGGUCUUCUUCCUUCUUGAGCUUUAUAUGAUCUGUGAAUUGUGUCUUUGGGUACUCCGAGCUUCUGGGCUAAUAUCCACUUCUCAAUGAGUGCAUACCAUGUGUGCUCUUUUGUGUGUUCUGGGUUACCUCACUCAGGAUGACAUUUUCUAGUUCCAUCCGUUUGACUGUGAAUUUGAUGAAGUCAUUGUUUUUAAUAGCUGAGUAGUACUCCAUUGUGUAGAUGUACCACAUUUUCUCUGUCCAUACCUCUGUUGAAGGACAAUAGUUUUUAAUUGUGUGUUUUAAGAAGGCCAUAUUGUUUUUUAUGUUUAACUUUAGUCCUGAACCAUUAUUGUGACAUUCCUAGGGUUGGUAUAUCUCCCUAUGUUCUUUAUUAGAAAUAUAUAUUCCACAGACCCCUGUGAAGUGGUCAUUUUGAUUGCCAUUAGUGUUCUUGUAAUGUCUCACAAUAAAAACAUUCCUUUCAUGGGCAACACAAUAAAUAAGGGAUGAACAAAUAUUUCCACAAAAUAGCUUGGCAAGUAUAAUAAAGUCACGAAGUGCUUACAAUUGUUUUAACGUUCCUGUACAUUUAAUUCUAAGCUGCUAGUGGGCAAGGGUGGUCCAUUUUUUCUGGACAAAGUGUGUCUCUGAACAUAUCAGCUCAGACCAGCUGGUGCACAAGAUUAAACAGCAGAAAUUUCAGCAUGGAUAAGCGAGAGACUCCUGAAGCCACACCGCAUCAGAGAGCUUCCAGCAGUUGCUAGCUGCCAAGGGGGGCAGAGGUACUCCCCUGUGGCUGCAGGUAGGUAGCGCAUGCUCCCGUGGAUGGUCACACACCAUGGCUAUAUGGGCAGCGUUAAUUGGACUCAGUGAUUUAUUAAUAGUACCAGAAAAGGAGACAAAGACAUUUCACAGAGAGGCACAUGAGGAGGAAGGCAUAAAGGGGAGAUGGAGAGAAGAUGUUUUGAAAGACUAACAUGUUAUCUUUAAAAUGCAUGUAUUUGGUACACAAAGAAGACCUCAAACAUAUGUUACCAUAUCCAUUAACAAAUAAUUUAUGACCCCAAGAUAAAGCAGUGUCAAAGUUAUUCCUCUCACUCACCUGAAGGCAUAUAGAAGCUUAUAUGUAAGACAUAAAGUGAUUUGAUUUUGAAGGCAAUUUGUUUUCACCCCAGAUAGUCUCUUGUUGCCCAUAUAUCAACAAAACAAUGCUAUGUUUUUAAGGAAAAAACUGGAAUUUCACAUUCAUCUCAAAGUGUCUCUGGAGAAAUUACUUGGAUAUUUCCUUCCCAUUAAUUUGAUAAUUGCAGGAUAUUAAUAAAGAAAAUUUUCUUCAUGAUUGAUGGAGUCGUGUCCCAGAAACCUAUUUACUGUCAUUUUUCAUAAUCUUCAGAAAUGUGUCUGGAGACAUUUAUGGAGUCACAGUAAUGUCAGACUGUAGACCCAGACCCUGUUGAUAGACUAGUAACUCCAUUAGCCGAUGAACUGUCACUUGGAAAAUAUUAAAACUGACUUGAAAACUGAAAUGGGGUCAACAGUCUACUGCAUUCACAGUUUUAUCAGCUUCCCCAACUCAUUUCAAGUAUGAAUGGUAAACUAAAUCGAAAAUUUACACACCAACACGCUACAUAUAAGGAUCUGCAUCAUUUAAUAGAAACCUUUCUUUAUCAUAAACUCUGCUCAACUGCUCAGGUCCCAUGCCAUUAGACAGCUCUAGGGCUGACAUACACACUGUCGGUACUGAAUGCCAAGGUAGGCAGUUCCCAGCAUACGCCAUGGGAAGCAGCCAGCAGCUGCCAAAGGUACUGACUACCUCAUUAACUUCAAUCUUGAGGAAUAGUCAGUCACUCCUUUACUCCUUAAAACUGAAGAAAAAAGAAGGUUUAAAUAUUGUGGAUCAAACAUUUUGGAUCCCCUGUGCAUUGAAGAAAAGCAAUUUUCAUAGAAAUUAUUAGGUUGGAAGCAUUGGUCAGUGGUAGAAUGCUUACCCAACAUGCAUUUAGUCCUAUAGACUUUCAUCUGUAGAACAUAAAUAAGUAAACAAACCAAUGCACACACAGUUAUUGUUUCGAUAGUAGACAACUUGUGGUAGGGUUUCAAUGCCCUCAGCAUUGCCUUUCAUGCACCAUACACAGCGUCUCUCUCAUUGCUUACUCUUCAAUUAUUAUUAUCACCACUUUGCAGAUGAGGAAAUGCAUACUUAAGGAGUUGAAUCCUAAAUUAACCACCUGUUGAUUAUCCUUUAGACCCUAUGGAUUAUUAUUGUUUGUCUGCAAGCACAUGAUAUGAAUAUGCAGCCAUAGAGCAUAGCUCACACAAGACAACUUUUUGGAGUUGUUUCUCGUUUCCCUUUAUAUGGGUUCCACAAAUGGGAUGGAGGGCAACAGGCUUGCAGAGAUAAGAGCCUUGAGCCAUCUCACUAGGCCUGGCUGGCAAUUAUUAAUAAAACUUGAAAUGAUAUCAGUUUAUCUGAUUUUAGAAUUUUUUUUGGUAAUGGAUAUUUUCAAAGGAUUUUUCUAAACUUUUAUGCUUUAGUCCCACUCUGUUGAAUAUUAUUUUCAUAAUAAAGGGUUAGUUUUAUGGUUAGACAUUAUUCAUAUAUAUUGUAUAUAAUCUACUAUCUUGAGCUUAUAUACAUUAAAUAAGAUAAUAUAUAAAGUACUUCUACCCAUUCCUAGUACAUAGAUCUUCUUAAUGAAUAGAUAAAAAUAAUAUAGUAUAAAAUAAGUUCUACUCAUUUGCUGGGGAUGGUAUAAAGAAAUGUUGAUUGCACUGUGCAUGAGUUUGAUUGAGUACAUGUGUACCUGUGUGUGUGCUUAUGCAUGUUUGUGAACCAAAAGACAGUGUUGACCAUCUUCUUCUGUUGCCCUCCAUCUUGAUUUUGAGAAACGAUUCCUCACCGAGCAGGGAGUUUCCCAGUUCAGCCAGAAGAGCUGGACAGCAAGCUCCAAAGAUCCUCCUGCCUCUGCCUCCCCAGAGCUAGGAUGGCAGGCAGCACCACCACACCUGGCUAAUUUUGUUUGUUUGUUUUCCCAUAGGUUCCGGGGAACCAAAUUUAGUCUUCAUAUUGGCAUGGCAGGCACCUUACCAACUGAACCAUCUCCCUGUCUCCUAUGAGUUUUAAAAGUAAGAAGAAAGUCAUUUUUAAGGAAAAUCUGUCAAAUGUUGCUCACCAGUCAAACUCAUGCUACUGUAUCUAAUGUGCUUUCAAGAAAUAAUACUUGACCUUAGCUUUCAAAUAAUCCUCUAAGUAAGUUAUUUUUUCUGCAGGACCUUAAUGAUCCAAUUCUAUUAAUGUUGAUGAUGCAGAGCUAAAAAAAAACGUUCUUAGAGCAUGACCCUCCAGAAAAUGCUAGAAAGUGUGCUGCUGGUAGGACAGUUGUUCAUUCUGUUACUGCCACUAUCGUCUGCCUGCAUUUCUUCCUCUUCUUUUUUCUCUUUUGCUUUCUCAAGGCUCAAAAAUGAGAACAUACCAUUGCCUCUGAACGUAAGUUCUUGGGCUUGGUAAAGCUGUGGAAUCAAUUUCAGGGACUGAGAGCUUUGUUUGAUUUUUCAUAAUCUAGAGACUGGAUUCAUGUCAAACCGCAGAAAGCAGUUCUCCCAGAUUUACACAAGGGCACAAGAGUGACUGACCAAGCUCGCUCAUGCUGCCUCUCCCGGGAUGAGAGAUGUGUGUGUACUUUUCCUUCGUCUGCACUGAUUCCAAAGCUCUCAUCAGCAACAGAAAGCAGAGCUGUCUGUCACAGGUCUGGACACUGACAGGAAAGGCCCAGAGAGUCUCUUUUUCCACUUGAUUUCAUUUGUAGACCAAAAUGUCCUCAACUGAGAGCAGGAAAGCAGCACUUGGAUAGCCCUGAACUGUCCAUAGAGAUGUUCCUCUCAGCUCUUUGACACUUAGAAUGUGGCUAGUCCAACUGAGGAACAAAGUGUGCAUUACAUAGGACUUAUAUAAAAUGUGUUGUGAUGAGAAAAUCUGUAUGACUAACAUCUGCAGUUGCCCAGAGUUUAGACCACCACGUGAUCAUAGUCAUGGAGCCCAUAAUGGGAAUUCAUUUCCCAGCUUUAUAUGUGACUAAGUGCAGAUAGUUAGUGUGGGCAUCCGUGUGCCAGGUCCUGCACGAGGCAUGUUUCACUUACUAUCUCAUUUAAUCUUCCUCUAUAAAAAGUUAUGCCAUUAACUUCUUUUCUGGAUGUGUCAACUGAGCCUUGGAUAAUUUAAGUAACUUGCUUAGGAUUUCAGUGUGGAUGCCUGGUUAUGGGAAAAGGUCUGUCUUAUUUCCAAGAGCUUAUUUCCAAGGCAUCAAAUUUCACUAAAGUAAAACACUAAAUAAAAUGCUUUGUUUUUCUACACUCCUUCUAAAUCUCUGUGGACGGAAAGCAUGCCGUCUUCUAGAUAGGAAAUGCUUCUCAAGCUGUUGACCUUAUCUGCUUUCUGGAGAAGGCAGUCAACUUGCAAACAAGACAAAGCCGUUGCUUUCUUUUAUCAAAUGCAAUAGCUUGGGUCAAAUUGUACCUACGGGCACAUGGAAUCCAAUUACACUUGAUCUACUGCUAAGUCACUUAUCCUAGCAACUGAAUCUGUUAGGAGAAAAGAUUAAUUCUUACACAGUUAAGGAUGCGAUAUUGAGUUAUAAAGAACAUCUUGACUCAUUGCAUUUCUGAGUUCUUUAUGUUUGUCUGACAGACAGCAACCUUCUUCCUUCAAUUUGGCAAAUGUUUGAGAUCAUGGACGGCUGAAUGCUUCAAUCAUUUAAAAUAGUUAGUGACAAGAGACACAGGUAACACAUUUUUGGUGAGCAGAAGCCUGGGCUAUAAAAUUCCAGAUAAGUGCUCGAACUCCAUCUUUGCGAUAAGUUUUUUCUUAAAGUGGAUAUUGUCUGGUAACUGAGAGUAAAGAAUCCAAUUUCUGUUCAUCAGUUUUAUUCGUCUAAAACAGCAUUAAAAUGACAGUGGUCGGGGAAGCAGGAAAGAAAGAAAAGUAGGAAAGCCACAAGCAAAAAUCACAACGGAGCAAUGACACAAAGCAGGACAGAAAUUGUUAACUAAGUCAAAAAUGAAUACUUCUUUCUUUGGGGAAAUCUAUGAAACGGUUAAAAAUGUCAUUUGUGUUCAUUCUUUCUCGUCCAUGUCAAGCUGUACAUUCUCUCCCUGGAGGAAUGGUGCCUGGCAGUGAUUCCCAUUCAGCAAGUGAUAAAAUUGAAACAGAAAUGAGUGAACUGACUUGGCCCAAGUCCGUUAAUAAGCUUGUAAUAGUCAUUCAUUCAAAGCACUCAGAAUCCAUGGCAAAGAAGGGCAGCACAAAACUGAGCACAGCCUGAGUUAUCCUCAAGCAUUCAAGGGGACAGAUCCAGAAUUCACUGGAACUUGGUAGGAAGCAAUUUUGUGCUAUGUAUUUGAUCAAAAGUAUCGCAAAGUCUCAUGGUGCCUGCUUAUGAAAGGAAAUGGCAAGGCUCAUACUAGACUUAGUCCGCAGUUCUGCAUGAAGCAUUAUUACAGAAAUUAGCUGUCAUGGAAAUGUCCUGUAGGGGAUAAAAUUAAAGCAAACCAACAAUGCAGGAAUUGAGUCAGGAAAGCAAUCAGAAGAAAUGUAAGCUCAGAUUGGAACGAUUUGUCAGGAUGGCCUCUAAUUUAAAAAUUGCCAGGCUAAAUACGGAGCGGAAACUAUCAAAAUAUUUAAGAACUUCAGCUCGUUUUUUUUUUUUUUUUGGUUUUUUUUUUUAACAAUAUCAUCGGGGUUCCCCUUAGCCAAAGAAAUUUAGAGAAUCUGUGGCCAUUGCUCCUGUCACUGGAUUCUCUGUAGUUUGUCUCUCUGACACCCAGAUCUUCAACUCUGCUAACUCCUCACAAGAACUGAACCUGAUUUUAUUUUAUUUUUAAAAACUUCUUAUGAGUAUGGGUGUUUUGUCUCAAAGCACGCCUAUGUGUGUAUGCCUGCAGUGUCCAUUGACUUCUGAAGAGGGCAGUCAAUUCCUGCCUGAAACUGGAGGACUGCGAGUCACCAUGUGGUGGUGGGAACUGUACCUGGAACCUCUGUAAGAGCAGCAAGGACCCUAAUCACUGAGCCAGCUCUUCAUCCCCGGACCCUGCUUUUGUUCGACUCUCUUCAGCACCUCUGUCAAACUUAAUUCUCUUUGUCAUGCACUGAAUUCAAGUUUUACUUUUUCUUAAAAAUCUUUAAAACUAUCUAAACUGAAAAAAAUAACCGUGGUACAAGGAGACUGGUUAUUAUGAGUGGGGUCCUACAUCAUGUUGAUAUCAUGUGAUACUUGCUGUUAUUGCUGUGUUCGCUAACAAAGCAACAAGUUCCCAUUUGGGAUGUCACAUACGUAUCUCAUUUUGGUUAAUCUGUCUGUUCCUCUUUCACUGCCUUGCCUUUCCAACCUCAGUAUUCCUUCUUCCAAUUUGUUCCAUUGUCUCAACCCUCCUUACAGCCUCCAUUUUCAGCCUCAUGAAACCCUUUCUAGUUUCCUGGCCUUUAUCAACAUUUACUAGUAGCUACCCUGAUGUGAUUACUUAACAAAGGCGAGGAUUCACAGACCAGAGGAAGCAUAGACUGUUUUACUUUGUGAACCUAGUUUACCUCUGUAUAUAAAAAUUUUAAAAUCUUUAUCUCAUUCAAUCCCCACCAUACCCUACUAAAGAAAACACAUGUCAAGAAAAGGCAGGUAUAGUUUGAAGGGCUGAUCACCCUGUCUUGGCAGAGUUUAUCAGUCAACUAUUGUGCAUAAUUUGUCCUUUUCUGGACAGUAUUCGUCUGUCAGUUGAUUUUGGGCCAGAAGGUUGAAGACUUGCGCUCACAUGUUGCUAACAGGGGACUGUGCUAGUGGAGAUUUGUCUCUACAACCUCUCAGUUCUGGAAGCCACGUUAGGCUUUCUAUGUGUAUAGAUAUUUGGUCAUUCUCAGAUUUCUGAUGGGGGUUGAAGACUGAUAGACUGAUAGAAGUCUCAUAGCCUAUCAGGCUGCUUAAUUCUGAAAAUACAUAUUUUAUUGGAUAGUUAUCAGAUAGUAUACAAGCUAGCCAAGAUAUAACAUAGAUUUUAAGCCUUUCUUAAGCUGGAAUGGAUAACUAAAUGUUCUGUUUAACUGAUAUAGUGAUGGACUGGUUGUUGAGUAUAUCAUAUGCUUUAUAAAUUGUAGAAUGGUAAUAAUUGUACUCAAUUUAUAUAUAAGUAAAAAGGCCUUUUAACUGGAAAAAAGGGGGAAAUGUUGUGGUUUGCCCUAGAGUUAUCUGUAUUUUGAUGCUAAUUCCACUGCCCCAAGGACAGCUGCCUAGUACUCAGGAAUCAGGUGACUUCAGCAGAACCUUCUCCCCAUUGAAUUUGUAAAACACAGGUGAGGGGUAGGUACAGGAUAGAAGGAGGCCAGUCAUUGGAGGAGAAGGAAGGAUGGGUGGGGGAGAAGUUUGAAGGAAGAGGAGGAGACUGGAAUGGAAAGGAGGGAGAGAGAGGAGGAGAGGGUGAGACGCCAUGGCUGGUGACGUUAAGAUUCCACUCUGUGUAUUUACAGGUUAUUAAUGUUUUUAAGGGAUGGAUAGUACUGGGCUUUGUAUGUUUAUGUGGGCAAUUAUAUCUUAUCAAUGGGUCAAAAAAGAAAAAGAAAAGAAAAGGCAGGUAUAAAAUCCUCUGACAGGAGGAAGGCUGGUUUAUCUAGAAAGGCAUGAGGUGUCCUGUGAAGGCAGAGAGUUAUGGACAUCUCAGGGAAAAACUGAUUAAAGAAUUCAGAACAUACUGUGAGAGGGAGGAGGCGAUACAGACAGUCUGUUAAGGAAAUGGUUACCCUUGACCGUUCUGUGACUUCUGGCCAUUCUUCUGAUUCUUAAACAUUGGCCUGUUGGAGCUCCUCCUUAUCCUGAUUCUUUUAUGUUCUAACUCCUUAUGGUAGUUGCUGCUUUCUCUCUCAUGAAACAUAAACAAACCACGACUCUACUCUGCUUAUGACUCUUUUUUUAGUGGUUGUUGCAUCUGCUGAGGGUUGAACUCUCAUCUGUGUUCACUCAGAUGACUCAAAGGGAAAAAGGCAAAUCAUUUGUAGCUUCUGCCACUUCAAUAAAAUGUUGAGUCACUAUUUUUUUUUUAAUCUUAGAAGUAGAUAUGGGUGAAUCUUUUGUUUAUUUAUUUUCUCUUGAAUCAAAAAUUGUUUAUAGUUACACUGGCCUCUCAAUCAAGUUUUAAACUAUUUUUAGGCAUGUAGGUUGUAACAGAAAGAAAAAGGUUCUCAUAAAAGAUAUGCAUACACGUGGAUCUCAUAUCUGUAAAAACAGAGAUGAAUUCUAUGUGCCUGGCACAUAGAAUUUCAUUCAUGGCAACAUUUAAGCUCUAUAAGACCGAAUAGAGAUAGACAAAAAUAUCCUGUCCAGGCAAAAGGACCUUUCCAUACUGGUUAAAUUACAUGCCACCUGCAGUUACCAACCACUGCCCUGCACCAUGGGGAUGUCCAGCUUCUUCUGCCUACAGCUGCUGAUCGCUUGUGCAAAGGUUGCUUGGCUGUCAGAUAAAAAAUAGAGUUCACUUUAUGUGCCCAUCUCUAAAGACAUUGCACUCUCCACUCACUCAGUGUGUUGUCCAUGUCGUAUCCAGAAUGAAAAGGUCAUGGCAUGAGCUGGCUACAGCUAUGUGAAGCUUUCUAUGAAAGGUCUCAAAAAAUAAAAUAAAAUAUAAGUUUUGAAUUGUGUCUACACUCUAGACUAGAGUCUUCUCAAUUCCAAAACACUAUUAAUAAAUCAUGACUACAAUUUAUUUUCAGCAAGCCUCGCUUUUUGAGAGGAUGAAACAUUCUCUAUAUGACCCAAGAACUUUCUCACUCACUAUAAAAUACUACACCAAACUUCUGUCAGCCUCAAGGAAAUAAACUAUUUUCAUUUGAUUCAUCAUAGUUAUUUCUUUUCUUUAUCUAAUCUCCAAGGGAAUAUCUCAUACAUCAGUCCUCAGUGUGGUCGGCCUUUAGACAUUGUGGGUUCUCCUUUCUUCUGUCCUUCUCCGCCCCCUUUUCUUCCACCCUUUCAACCCAUUAACACUAGCUAGGAGAGGGAAAAGAAAUCCGUGUGUGGCAAAUGGAAUCAGUUCUACAGAAGUGCAGAAGAAGGUUGGACAAAAGCAGGGUCAGAGAAAAUAGGAAUUAAAAAAAAAGAGGGGAAAGGGAAGAGACCCCUGAAUAAAGUUGGGGGCCAGAAAGAGGUGAUGUUAACCUUAGCCUACUUCCUGCUGAUUAGGGGUGUCAAGUUCCCUGGGGCAAACUUGAUAUUCACUGUCAGGAUAUCUAACUUAUUCUUCUUCUUGUUUCUUCUUUAUGCACAACUACUUAACAAACUGUGACUAACAACCAAGAUCCACCCAACAACCCACACUGCUUCUUGGAGCCCAAGCAUUUACACCCUCUGGAAAGUCCCCUGCUUUCGGAACAUCACAAAAACACAGAAACUACCUUCACUUGGAAAAAGAAACAAACAAA